GAUGAACGCUGGCGGCGUGCUUAAUACAUGCAAGUCGAGCGAACAGACGAGGAUCUUGCGGCUCUGACGUGAGCGGCGGGCGUGUGAAUAACACGUGGAUAACCUACCUAUAAGUCUGGUAUAACUUCGGGAAACCGGAGCUAAUACCGGAUAAUAUAUUGAACCGCAGGGUGCAAUAGUGAAAUACGGUUUUGCUGUCACUUAUAGAUGGAUCCGCGCCUCAUUAGCUAGUUGGUAAGGUAAAGGCUUACCAAGGCAACGAGGCGUAGCCGACCUGAGAGGGUGAUCGGCCACACUGGAACUGAGACAAGGACCAGACUCCUAAGGGAGGCAGCAGUAGGGAAUCUUCCGCAAUGGGCGAAAGCUUGACGGAGCAACGCCGAGUGAGUGAUGACGGUCUUCGGAUCGUAAAACUCUGUUAUUAGGGAAGAACAAAUGUGUAAGUAACUAUGCACGUCUUGACGGUACUUAAUCAGAAAGCCACGGCUAACUACGUG
rnacentral:rRNA from 1 species